GUGAAUAUAGCGUAUCUCUUAGGAGAGCGUGACCUCCACUUUCAAACUCUGUGCAUUUUUUUGGCGAGGGAAACGACAGGAGAGAAUGGGAAACCAUUCUUGAACAUUCGUUUCACUUGCGGCUCAUUUUAAACACUAGUUAAAGUAUGUAACGAAAUAUCGAAACAAAAA
rnacentral:misc_RNA from 1 species